rnacentral:tRNA from 1 species
GGCUCCAUAGUGUAGUGGUUAGCAUGUCUGCUUUACACGCAGAAGGUUCUGGCUUUGCGCCCCAGGUGGAGCCA